rnacentral:rRNA from 1 species
UACGAAGGGGGCUAGCGUUGCUCGGAAUCACUGGGCGUAAAGCGCACGUAGGCGGCUUCUUAAGUCAGGGGUGAAAUCCUGGAGCUCAACUCCAGAACUGCCUUUGAUACUGAGGAGCUUGAGUCCGGGAGAGGUGAGUGGAACUGCGAGUGUAGAGGUGAAAUUCGUAGAUAUUCGCAAGAACACCAGUGGCGAAGGCG